rnacentral:rRNA from 1 species
UACGGGGGGUGCGAGCGUUGUCCGGAAUUAUUGGGCGUAAAGAGCUCGUAGGCGGCCUGUUGCGUCCGCUGUGAAAGCCCCGGGCUCAACCUGGGAACUGCAUUUGAAACUGGCGGGCUUGAGUAUGGCAGAGGGGGGUGGAAUUCCGCGUGUAGCAGUGAAAUGCGUAGAGAUGCGGAGGAACACCGAUGGCGAAGGCAGCCCCCUGGGCCAAUACUGACGCUCAGGCACGAAAGCGUGGGGAGCAAACAGG